rnacentral:rRNA from 1 species
GAUGAACGCUGGCGGCGUGCCUAAUACAUGCAAGUCGAGCGAACGGACGAGAAGCUUGCUUCUCUGAUGUUAGCGGCGGACGGGUGAGUAACACGUGGAUAACCUACCUAUAAGACUGGGAUAACUUCGGGAAACCGUAGCUAAUACCGGAUAAUAUUUUGAACCGCAUGGUUCAAAAGUGAAAGACGGUCUUGCUGUCACUUAUAGAUGGAUCCGCGCUGCAUUAGCUAGUUGGUAAGGUAACGGCUUACCAAGGCAACGAUGCAUAGCCGACCUGAGAGGUUGACCGCCCACACGGAACCUGAGCCACGUCCCAAAUCCUAACGGAGGGCAGAGGAGGGAAUCUUCCGCAAUGGGCGAAAGCCUGACGGAGCAACGCCGCGUGAGUGAUGAAGGUCUUCGGAUCGUAAAACUCUGUUAUUAGGGAAGAACAUAUGUGUAAGUAACUGUGCACAUCUUGACGGUACCUAAUCAGAAAGCCACGGCUAACUACGUG